UAUAUAGACAUGCUUUAAUAGAUCUAAUAAAUGAUUAACUCGGACCUACCAAUAUGGGUAUAUAAAUACUUAAAUCUGGGUAUUUAAAAUUUCGAAUGCGAAUUUUUUAAAAACCAAAACUUAUAUUGAUCUAGAUCUCUUGUAUAAUAUCUAGAAUAAUAUAGAUCUACAACACCUAGACUAAAGUUAAAGACUAAGACAUCACAUUCACACGAUUAUUGAUACAGCUGAGACAGUGAAUGAAACGAAUGCAGUGGUUAUACUGAUUAUACUUAAAGUGACGAUACUACUUAUAGAUCUACCAGUUGAUAAACAUCAUCAUCAUAGAUAAUAAUCUACAUCUAUAAUCAUAGUGCCCUUUAUUUAGUCAAUAUUACUCAAUAUAGUCAAGUCAAGAUAGUGGAAUGUAAACUCGAAGGUUUAAUACAAUACGUUAUUAACAAGUAGAACCAUGGCAACCAGUUCUGAUGAUGUACCAGAAUGGCUCAAGGAUCAUACUUAUACUAUUUCUACUCUCUGGGCAUCCAUUCAAUAUUUAAUUUAUGUUUGGAAAUGCAAGAAAAAGGCAUGCAUUCCUGAAAAGUCAAUGAUUGGUUGCACCUCCUAAAGAUAACUUUCUGUUAUGAGAAAAGAUGAGAUUCUUGGACUCCUGCAUAGCACCACCAGAAAGGAAAAUCCCAUCAUGUUGCAAAAUAAAAGUCUUGGACCAAUUUUAAUUUAAGAUAUAUAUAUUAUACUGUAAGCUGUAUACAUAUUUAUGUAUAUCCUGUCAUUCAGCCAACAGGUUUGGAUUUAGUAUAUGUUUAAAUCUGUUUGAUAUUGUACUUGAAAACUAUUAAUCUGAGCCCCAUUAAAACAAGAGGGAGUGCAGUAGAUGAGUGGUAAGGGAAAUUUUACUUUUUUAAAAUUAAAAUAAGAAUCUAACAAAAGUUAACAUAUAAAAUAUGGUGCAUUCUCCUUAAAACUAAAACCUGGUGCAAAGGUUUAAAAUGUUGGCAAAAAAAAAAGCAACAUCAAUUAAAUAUUCUUAAUUCCCUUUGCAACAUGCAUGUUGUUCCCUCAUAAGUUUCUUGACAGAGGAAAUCUUGUUUAUAUUAGAUUUGAAUUAAGCAAAUUAAGAAAAAAAUUAUAAUCAUUAUUUCAAAUGGUUUUAUCUAAACCUUAUGAAUUAUUUUUCAGUUAUAAGUAUAUUGAAAUGAAUGGAUAAUCAUGAAAUCGUUAAAUAAUUGCUGCUGCAUUGCUGCUAUCAUUCCAUUGACUAAAGAACCAUAAUUUUUUUUAAAAUUAAUUUCAAAAUGAUUUUUUUCAAGCAGAGUUCACAUAGAUCUUGAGUGAAAUUUUUCUUUUUUUGACUAAUGCUUCAAUUUUAUUGUAUCAUUAGUUUUUUAUUUUUAUUACCCAGAAUAUUUUAAAAAUGAGUACACUAUUUUCAUGUAAUAAUGUAACUUGGUAUUCACACAUCAAAAUACGCUAUAAUCUUUAGGCCAUAUAGAUUUGUAUAAAUAUAAAUUAACUUGCUUAAAUACAUUGUAAAUGUAUAUUGUUUGGAUAAGAAUAAAGUUUUUCUGUAGACAA